ACGGGGUGCAGCAGGCGCGAAAACUCCGCAAUGCGCGCAAGCGUGACGGGGGAAUCCCAAGUGCCGUUGGUCUUAUGAUCGACGGUUUUUAGGAAGUCUAAGAAGCUUCCAGAAUAAGGGCUGGGCAAGACUGGUGCCAGCCGCCGCGGUAACACCAGCAGCCCAAGUGGUGACCACGAUUAUUGGGCCUAAAGCGCUCGUAGCCGGAUCAGCAAGUCCCUUGUGAAAUCGGGCCGCCUAACGGUUCGGCGUGCAAGGGAUACUGUUGGUCUUGAGGCCGGGAGAGGUCGGAGGUACUCCUGGGGUAGCGGUGAAAUGCUCUAAUCCUAGGGGGACCACCAGUGGCGAAGGCGUCCGACCAGAACGGACCUGACGGUGAGGGGCGAAGGCUAGGGGAGCGAACGGGAUUAGAUACCCCGGUAGUCCUAGCUGUAAAGCAUGCGGGCCAGGUGUCUAGCGCUCCUUGAGGGCGCUAGGUGCCGGAGGGAAGCCGUUAAGCCCGCCGCCUGGGAAGUACGGCCGCAAGGCUGAAACUUAAAGAAAUUGGCGGGGGAGCACCACAAGAGGUGGGACCUGCGGUUCAAUUGGAUUCAACGCCGGAAAACUCACCAGGGGCGACAGCUGGUUGACGGCCAGAUUGACGAUCUUGCCCGACUAGCUGAGAGGUGGUGCAUGGCCAUCGUCAGCUCGUACCGUGAGGCGUCCUGUUAAGUCAGGCAACGAGCGAGAUCCUCGCCCUUAGUUGCCAUCGGUGGAAAGCCGGGCACUCUAGGGG
rnacentral:rRNA from 1 species